AUUGAACGCUGGCGGCAGGCUUAACACAUGCAAGUCGAACGAGUGGCGGACGGGUGAGUAAUGCUUGGGAAUCUAGCUUAUGGAGGGGGAUAACUACGGGAAACUGUAGCUAAUACCGCGUACCAUAGGAUGAGCCCAUGUGGGGUUAGGUAGUUGGUGAGGUAAAGGCCCACCAAGCCGACGAUCUCUAGCUGGUCUGAGAGGAUGACCAGCCACACUGGGAAUGGGACACGGCCCAGACUCCUACGGGAGGCAGCAGUGGGGAAUAUUGCGCAAUGGGGGCAAACCUGACGCCACCAUGGCGCGUGUAUGAAGGAGGCCUUAGGGUUUUAAAGUACUUUCAGCGGGGAGGCGUUACCCGCAGAAGAAGCACCGGCUAACUCCGUGCCAGCAGCCGCGGUAAUAC
rnacentral:rRNA from 1 species